rnacentral:rRNA from 1 species
AGGGCGCACGGGGGAUGCCUUGGUGCCAAGAGCCGAUGAAGGGCGCGGCGAGACUGCGAAAAGCCUCGGCUGGCUGUCGGGCAAGCUGAGCCGGGGAUUCCCGAAUGGGGCAACCCAUCCAGGUGAACCCUGGAUACUCCUGGUUGAACACAUAGACCAGGGAGAGGUAAGUGGGGGAACUGAAACAUCUAAGUACCCCGAGGAAAAUAUAGACAUUCCCCUAGUAGUGGCGAACGAAAGGGGAACAGCCCAAACCUUGAUGACUCAGUGGAUUCGAGGCCUAUGUCAUCAGGGGGUUGUAAGGCAUGGCGGAGGAAGGGCUCGAAACCUUCCUGGGAGUUACAAACCGUAUCCCUAGCUGAAGGUCUCUGGAACGAGCCACCAUAGCGGGUGAUAGUCCUGUAGGUUAAAGGGUGAGGCUCCUAGUCAUGUUCUUAAGUACCACGGGACACGUGGAAUCCUGUGGGAAGCUGGGGUGACCACACUCCAAGGCUAAAUACUCUUGGCAACCGAUAGUGAACAAGUACCGUGAGGGAAAGGUGAAAAGAACCCCGGGAGGGGAGUGAAAAGAUCUGAAACCGUGUGCCUACAAGCAGUCAAAGUCCGUCUUCGGGCGGAUGAUGGCGUGCCUAUUGAAGAAUGAGCCGACGAGUUAAUCUAUGUAGCUAGGUUAAGUCGCUCAGCGACGGAGCCGUAGCGAAAGCGAGUCCGAAUAAGGCGUUGUCCUUCUUCGGAAGGACAGGUUGCAUGGAUUAGACGCGAAGCCGGGUGAGCUACCCAUGGCCAGGGUGAAGGUCGCCUAAUAGCGACUGGAGGUCCGAACCUAUUAGUGAGGCAAAACUACAGGAUGAGUUGUGGGUAGGGGUGAAAUGCCAACCGAACUCGGAGAUAGCUCGUUCUCCCCGAAAUGUAUUGAGGUACAGCCUCGGGUGUUGAGUUGCGCAGGUAGGGCACUGGAUGGGCUAGGGGGCAAGUAAGCUUACCAAACUCAACCAAACCGCGAAUGGCGUAACUAGAAAGCCCGGGAGUGAGACGGUGGGGGAUAAGCUUCAUCGUCAAGAGGGAAACAGCCCAGACCAUCAGCUAAGGUCCCCAAGUGUAGGCUAAGUGGUAAAGGAGGUAGAAGCGCUCAGACAGCCAGGAUGUUGGCUUAGAGGCAGCCACCAUUUAAAGAGUGCGUAACAGCUCACUGGUCGAGUGAAUCUGCGCCGACAAUCCAGCGGGGCUCAAGCCUACCACCGAAGCUAUGGGUCCGCCUUAGGGCGGGCUGUAGGGGAGCGUUCCCUUCGCAUCGAAGCUGUGGCGUGAGCCGUGGUGGAGCGUAGGGAAGUGAGAAUGUCGGCAUGAGUAGCGUAAGGCGUGUGUGAAACACGCCCACCGGAUGCCUGAGGUUUCCUACGGAAGGUUAAUCCGCGUAGGGUUAGUCGGGCCUAAGCCGAGGGCGAAAGCCGUAGGCGAUGGACAACUGGUCAACAUUCCAGUACCGCUUAUUUUUUGUAACCUAAGGGGGGACACAGGAAGGUAGGUCAAGCGUGCCCAUUGGACAUGGUGCGUCUCCGAUUGUAGGCGUGAGCUGAUAGGCAAAUCCGUCGGCUCGUUAAGCUGAAGAGAGGGGAAAGCUGAGGGGCAACCCGAGGCGAUUUGGCUGAGUCUACGCUGUCAAGAAAAUCCUCGUAGCUGAAGAAUGAGCGCCCGUACCGCAAACCGACUCUGGUAGGCGGGGAUGAGAGUCCCAAGGUGGUCGAGAGAAUCCUCGUUAAGGAACUCGGCAAUCUAGCUCCGUAACUUCGGGAUAAGGAGCGCCUCGGGGUGUGAGAGGACUCGUUUUUUGAGCACCCUGGGGCCGCAGUGAACGGGCCCAAGCGACUGUUUAACAAAAACACAGGUCUCUGCUAAAGCGUAAGCUUAGGUAUAGGGGCCGACACCUGCCCAGCGCCGGAAGGUUAAGGAGAUUUGUCAUGGCUCUUCGGAGCCGGCAGCAGAGAACCGAAGCCCCGGUAAGCGGCGGCCGUAACUAUAACGGUCCUAAGGUAGCGAAGUCCCUUGUCGGGUAAGUUCCGACCCGCACGAAUGGUGUAACGACUUGGGCGCUGUCUCAACGAGGGACUCGGCGAAAUUGAAAUACCCGUGAAGAUGCGGGUUACCCGCGACUGGACAAAAAGACCCCGUGGAGCUUUACUAUACCCUGGCAUUGAAUUGCGGCUUAGCAUGUGUAGAAUAGGUGGGAGGCUUUGAAGCCGGGGCGCCAGCCCUGGUGGAGCCGCCGUUGAAAUACCACUCUUGUUAAGUUUCGGUUCUAACCGCUGUGCAAGCAGGGAGACAGUGUCAGGCGGGUAGUUUGACUGGGGCGGUCGCCUCCUAAAGAGUAACGGAGGCGUCCAAAGGUCCCCUCAGGGUGGAUGGAAAUCACCCAUUGAGUAUAUUGGCAUAAGGGGGCUUGACUGUAAGACCAACAAGUCGAGCAGGGACGAAAGUCGGGCAAAGUGAUCCUACGGUACCGUGUGGAAGGGCCGUGGCUUAACGGAUAAAAGCUACCCCGGGGAUAACAGGCUUAUCUUGCCCAAGAGUUCACAUCGACGGCAAGGUUUGGCACCUCGAUGUCGGCUCGUCGCAUCCUGGGGCUGGAAAAGGUCCCAAGGGUCCGGCUGUUCGCCGGUUAAAGCGGUACGCGAGCUGGGUUCAGACCGUCGUGAGACAGGUCGGUCUCUAUCCGUCGUGGGCGCAGCAGAUUUGAGGGGAGAUCUCUCUAGUACGAGAGGACCGAGAGGUACAGACUUCUGGUGUACCAGUUGUCCUGCCAAGGGCAUCGCUGGGUAGCUAUGUCUGGUCAGGAGAACCGCUGAAAGCAUCUAAGUGGGAAGCCUACCCCAAGAUAAGAUCUCCCACCGGUUUAACCGGGUAAGACCGCAAGAAGAUUACUUGU